rnacentral:rRNA from 1 species
AUGAGGAAAACUAAGGGGGGUGAUGAUGAUGGCACAAGAAGAUCACAAAAGAGUAGACGAGCUUGCAAUAGUAAAGGAGACGGAACCAAGUCAUUGGACUCAUUAUUGGUAAAGGUGCGAGGAGGUUGUAGGGUUCUUGAGCAUCUCUUAGGAAGAAUACAUAGGAGUAGAAGAGUUUGCAAAAAGAAAACCAAUUCAUUAACAUCAGCCUGGGUAAAGAUGUGGGAAAUUAGGAGGUCUUUUGAUGAUCUCACAGAAAGAUUACAAGAGAGUAGGGUUCACAAUGGUGAAGAAGAGGAAACCAAGUCAUUGGCAUCAGUCUGGGGAAAGGCGUGGAAAAUUAGGAGGGCUGUUCAUGAUCUCACAGAAAUAUUACAUGACUGUAUGGUUCGCAAUGGUGAAGAAGAGGAAACCAAGUCAUUGGCAUCAGUCUGGGAGAGGGUGAGAAAAAUUAUGAGGGCUGUUGAUGAUCUCACAUUAAGCUUACAUAAGAGUAGGGUUCUCAAUGGUAAAGAAGAGGUAACCAAUUCAUUGGCAUCAGUACACAAGAAGAAACUGCAUCCGGAUCUAGUCUCCAUGGGUUACCCUGAGCCACCAAAACUAGAUGGUAGCAUGAUUUUGGUUAAUACUUUCGAAGAGACUUUUGGCGACACAUAUCCUAAAGGUGAUUGGCGUGAAUUCAGUGAAAAGGCUUCUUCUAAGAUUAGUCGCUAUGUUGUCGCGCUUGCUUCAUUCAGUGGAGGGAAAAGGCACUUUGCAUGCUCAGGUUUUUUUAUUGAAUGGAAUGGAUCUACGGUUAUUCUGACAUCAGCGAGCUUGGUUAGAAGUUCAAGUGAUGAAAACAAGAUCGAUCGAAACUUGGAGAUUAAAGUGUUGCUUCCCAAGGGACGGCUCAUAGAUGGCACACUAAAGCAUUAUAGCCUACACUAUAAUGUUGCUCUAGUCAGUUUCAAGGAUUGCCGUGUUGUUUGUCCAGCAAUUAUUCAGCGUCGUCGGUAUGUGUGCUCUAAAAUAGCAGCUGUAGGGCGUUGUUUCAACUCAGGCACACUAAUGGCCAAGAUUGGGGAAGAGGUCACCUGGACAGGCACACUUGAUUGCGUUUGCAUUGAACGAAUAUCAUGUAAAAUCAGCAAGGCUGGUAUUGGAGGACCCCUUGUUAAUUUGGACGGGGAAGUUGUUGGCAUGGACUUCUACGAUCCGAGGAUAGGAACCCCUAUCGUGAUGUGGGACCAUGUUGAACACAUUCUGCAACAUAUAGAAAAGAGUGACCCCUCCGGCGCGGCUUUCUGGAAAAUGGCUGGGGAUCCCAGCAAGAGGCUAAAUAGGUGGCCUGUGCCUGCGCCAUGUUGGCGUAGCCGUGAGGACGUGGAGAAGGACAAGAAAUCUGAGGAAGAUGAGAUGAACCUUGAACCCCCGCCCCUACCCCCCAGGGAGAGUUUCUCAUGGGUCUUCAAUUUCUUUCAACAGAAGCCGGGCUCUGAACCCUCAUCCAGUCACAUAAACCGCAGUAACCCAUUCAUAUACGGAUUCAUAGAUGGAAAGAAAGUUUUACUGUCUAUUUGA